GAGCAGGCUGAGUUUAUUGACAUGGGCCCUCUGAGUGGAGAUUCUAGGUUUACUAUGGAAGCUCGCACAGUUUAAAAAAAAGGUGUCAAAAGUUUGUUCGAACGGUUGACUGAAGUGUUUAUCAAAAGAAGGCCUACUGAAAAGGAAUUGGAGAUGCCUGAUAUCCCUUGGCUUAGUGUUGACAAAGGAAUUUUAAGGCUUAGGGAAAUUGCAAUGCUAGAGUGGAUAUGUUGUGUAAAACCUAAUCCUCCACAAUGGGAAGGUCCAGAAGAUAUGCCCUUCACCAGCUCUCUGGUGAGAAGGACACCAGCACAUUUUAAGAGUUUUGUUCUUGCCCUUUUCCUUGUGCAUUGGAAAUGCUGCUGCUCAAUUAGAUAAAUUAAAUUCAAUGGGUUUAAUUGAGCCCUGAGGUAACAAGGGCCAGGUUGCAGCAUUGAAUCGCCUGAGACAGGUGAUUGUGGUUAUUAUAAUGGACAGCGUAGACAAAACACUGUAUAUAAUAACAUAACCCGUAAUGGUCAGCACAGGAGAGGUGAAAUUUAUAAUGGCAUGACUCGUUUGGACCUUUGGUACUGGCUAAUCAAUCAUGGUGUUUCCAGGCACGAAAUACUUCCCAAACAAAUGAAAGAAAGACAUCAUGGUAAAAGGCACUCUCGGUCAGUGAAUCAAUUUCCAGACUUGAGCCAGUUUGCAGAUCCAAAACCGCUUGAAUGAAGGGAUGGCCAGGUUCCCCUGAGGGAAGGAUCUUGAUAAGACACCUAAAAGUUUUGCUGCUACCCUUUCUCCAGUUCUUCCCCAGAGGGACCUAUGGCCUUUUACAAGGAUAACUGUACACUGGGGGAAAGGAAAUAAUCAGACUUUGCGGACUUUGUGGGGUCUAUUGGAUACUGGUUCUGAGUUGACACUGAUCCCAGGAGAUCCCAAGAAACACUGUGGCCCUCAGUUAAAGUAGGGGCUUAUGGAGGACAAGUGAUUAAUGGAGUUUUGAUGGACGCCCAACUCACAGUAGGUCCAGUGGUCCCCGAACACAUCCUGUGGUCAUUUCCCCCAUUUCCAGAAUGUAUAAUGGCGAUAGAUAUACUCAGAAAUUGGCAGAAUUCUCACAUUGGUUCCCUGAACUGUAGAGUGAGGGCUAUUAUGGUAGGAAAGGCUAAAUGGAAGCCUUUAGAGUUGCCUCUGCCAAAGAAAAUAAUCAAAAACACUAUCGUAUUCCUGGAGGAAUUGCAGAAAUUACUGCCGCUAUCAAGGACUUGAAAGAUGCAGGGGUGGUGGUUUCCACCACAUCUCCCUUUAACUCUCCUAUCUGGCCAGUGCAGAAGACAGAUGGAUUGUGGAGAAUGACAGUUGACUAUCGAAAAAUAAAUCAGGCGGUAACUCCAAUUGCAGCUGUUGUACCAGAUGUAGUUCCGUUACUUGAGCAAAUUAACACAUCUCCUGGUACCUCGUAUGCGGCUAUUGAUUUGACGAAUGCCUUCUUCUCAAUACCUGUCCAUAAGGACCACCAGAAGCAAUUUGCUUUCAGUUGGCAAGGCCAGCAGUAUACCUUCACAGUUUUGCCUCAAGGAUAUAUUAACUCUCCUGCCCUGUGUCAUAACUUAGUUAUAAGGGAUCUUGAUUGUUUGGCUCUUCCACAAAAUAUCACAUUGAUACACAAUACUGAUGACAUUAUGCUAAUUGGACCAAGUGAGCAAGAAGUAUCAACCACUCCUGACUAAUUGGUAACACAUAUGUGUAUCAGAGGAUGUGAAAUAAAUCCAACCAAAAUUCAAGGACCAUCUACAGUGAACUUCUUAGGAGACCAGUGGUGUGGGACAUGAAGAGAUAUUCUUUCUAAGGCAAAAGAUAAGUUUCUGCCCCUGACCCCUCCUACCACCAAGAAAGAAGCACAACAUUUCAUGGGUCUAUUUGGAUUCUGGAGACCGCACAUUUCUCACUUAGGUGUGUUACUUAGGCCUAUUUACCAAGUGACUUGGAAAGCUGCUAGCUUUGUGAGGGUCCUGGAACAGGAGAAGACCCUACAACAUGUCCAGGCUGCUGUGCAGGCUGCUCUACCACUUGGAACAUAUGAUCCAGCAGACCCAAUGGUACUUGAAGUGUCUGUGGCUGAUAGAGAUGCUGUUUGGAGUCUCUGGCAGGGCCCUGUAGAUGAAUCACAGAAGAGACCUUUUGGAUUUUGGAGCAAAGCUUUACAUCAUCUGCAGACAACUAUUCCCCUUUGAAAAGCAACUCUUGGCCUGCUACUGGGUUAGGGUUAGGGUUAGGGGGGUUAGGGUUAGAGUUAGGGGUUAGGGUUAGGAUUAGUUUUCUGCAGAAACAUCCUCAGAGAUAUGCCGAAAAAUGCUGUGUGAAUUUUCCACCCUACAACACAUUCAACUUAACAGACAGAAUAAAAUAAAAUUAUGGAUUCAUUCCAUUCAUCACCAAUCUCACUUUAAUGUAUAGUAUCAUUAGAAAUCUCUGUUGAAUAAUUUCUUAACCAAACACAGAUAGAAUAAAUUUUUAACAGUUUAAAGGACUCUUAGAUGAGUUACUGGAAAUACUUUAAAUAAUUCUAUAUGAUUCAAAGUCCUUUCUAAAAUAUACAAAAUCUUUUCUGGAAUAAACAAGUAAGACUGAUAUAAAUUUUAUGAUUAUCCUUUGACUCUGACUGGAACUGUGUGCUGCAGAGAAUCCAAAGUCUUCCCAACUGGAUGAGGAAUAUGAUAUUCUAUGAUAUGAUAUUCUAUGAAUAUCACAUUUAUUCUUACAUUUUUGAGAAUCGGUAAUUUUUCUUGGUAUUUAAUUCAUUUUGCCUCCACAGACUUUUCUCUUUCAAUUAUACUCAUAUAUUUAUGCACAUAUAAAAUAAAAAGAGUACACCAAUUGGAGAGAUUGAAGAGAGUGUUGGUGGAUUUGGAUGGAGGGGACAAGGGUUGUAUAAAAGAAACUACAGGGAAUGUUAAACUACAAAUUUAUUUUAAUGAAACAAACUUACCCUGAAUAUUCUCAUACUUAAGAUGCAUUUUUCCAUUCAUCAAUAUCUUUGUCUUGCACCUCUGAUUCUCAUAGAUCCAGCAAGAAUUUCUAAUGUUUUAAAUUUCAUAAUCAAUGGUAUGUAAUAUAUUAUCAAUAUAAAACACAUGUUUUUGUUACUUUGAAUACAGAUAUUUCUUGUUCUAUUAAAUUUCCAAGAAGAGGUAUUUACAGUGAGUUUCUGAGUUUGCAAAUCUAUAUUCAGUCAUUUUAAGUAACUUGUCCAUGUUCUAUACUUUUAGUCAAAAGAAAGUGUAGCUCAUCCUGAUUAUUAUGAGAAGAUACUUUGUAUCGAUACUGUUGCUUGGUAAGUUAACAUUUAAUAUUUGAGGAAAUCAUCCCAAUAUGCAUGAUUAUCUCAUAACUUAUCUUAUUUCCAAACAAGAAUUCAGGCUCAGAAGAAUUUUCUUCUUUCAGUGCUUACAUACUGUAUUAUAUUAUUUAACAUAGAACCGAAGGAUACUAAACCUCAAAUUAUAAGCCACUACACUGGUUUAUAAUUUUCAGAUGUCUUAUGGUUUCAUUACCACAACCACAUUUUAUCCACUGUUAUUUUCUCUAGACUCUCAUUAUUCUAUGCACUUUCUUCUAUUCUUUAUGUACCUUUGUGUUAUGUUUAAAUAUUUUAAAAGAUAUCUAGAGUCCCAGUUAGCAUUGAGAGCAAGGUUUAGCUCUAUGUAGUUGCCUGCAUUAGCUGACCAAUAUGAAAUAAAUCUUAUUCUUGUGUGAGAUUUCAAAGCCUUAAGCUAUAGCUACUCUCCUAGUUCACUUUCUGUUCUUAUCAUUGAAUGUUUACAAAGAAUGAAGGCUUAUUUGUCUUACUAUUCUAAAAGCUGGGAGGUCUGCCUUUUGAUGGAUUGAAUCUGCUGAGGCUUUCUUGCUCAUGAGGAAUAUUUGCAGAAUCCCAAGGCAGUGUACAGCACCCACAUAGUUAUGUGCAUCUUUCUUCCUUCUCUUUUAGGUAACUUUCAAAACUGAGGGCUCCAGUCUCAUGGGGUUAUCAGAUCCUCCUUACUGUGCAAUGGCUAUGCACAGGAAUCAAUACAUAUGACUUUGAAGAUGAUUCACUUUCAACAUAAGUUUUAAGGUGACACACAUCCAGACCACAGAAGCUGCAUUUCUUUCAUUGUCCUCAUAAAACCAGGAGCCUCGAUUCAGUGCUAUUCUCUAAGGAAGAAAGUCUGUUUCAUCACCUGCAUAUUCAUUCAUGAUUUAUAUAAUUAUGGGCUUAUUUACUUGAAUCCUGAAAUUGGUCUAUAAUUGUCAAGAUGCUAUUGCAUGCUUCUUUCCUGUAUUCCUUGAACACUGGAAAAAUUAUGACCCUCUUCCCUUUCUUCCUGGACACAAAAAAAGGAAAGGAUGGCAUUAUCCAAAUGGAAGGACUUUUGGAAGGACUCAUAGCUGGGAAUGAAUUUAAUUUCUAGCCUCUUUUCUUUGGCUGGCCUUAUGCUAUUUGUGUUUAUUAUGCAAAUGUGUGAGUGAAGUUUCAAAUGAGAUUAAAAUCGUUAAAGCAUA